rnacentral:rRNA from 1 species
AUGGCGACGAUGGCGGCGUGUCACCUUGAUUCCGGUGAUGGCGAAGGGGCCGAACGGGCUGGCCGCAGGCAGAAUGGCGAUGGAUGGCAAGGGUUCGAACAAGGUAGCAACAGGGCCGGCGGGGGACCGGCGGGAGGCACGCCGGCGAAGAUGCAGAGAAUGCGCAGACGCGAGAGAGAGCCGCGGAGUUUUGCUCAGCCACUGUUAGUCGGCGUCGGAAUUUGGGGCCUAUUGGUGGCCGGCGUCGCUCCCCGCAGGAUCGAGUCCUGGACCACGCAGCUAGCAGUAGAAGUAGGAGGGCCUUCACUUCAGGGUUGCGUCGUACUACCUGCGAUAGGUACUGGAGGCGGUGCUGCCAUUUUCUGGGAUAAACAUCUGGUCAACGUAGUUACGCACAUGAUUGCUAGCUUCUCCAUUACGGUUAGGGUAGAGAUCAUCGGCAGCGGCGAGUUCUUUUGGAUGACAAGCAUGGCUUUUGUGGGUGCAUCUCUCAUCACCGACAGCAAGUUGUGCGCCGCCACCGAGUCGGUCGUCGACUCUAGCACGGUGCGGGAGACCAAGCUGGGCAUUCUUGUUGCCUGGGAUCCAGGUGUGGUGGUUGGCCAGCCAGUCUCAACACACAAAUAUCAUGUUACUGUCAGUUUCUCAUCCACAACCACCAAUGUUUCCUUUGUGCUCACUUCAGUAUACGCUCCUUGCCUAAAUUCAGAUAGACCUGCUUUCUUCGAGACUAUGAACAAUAUUGCCGUGCCGGCUAAGGCCCCUUGGGUGGUUGUGGGCGAUUUCAACAUGUAUCGGUUUGCUUCUGAAAAAUCCCGUGGCAUUGUUAACUGGAGGGUCAUGGAAACUUUCAACUCAUGGGUCAGAGAUCAUGGUUUGGAUGAUGUUCAUUUGGAUAACAAGAAAUUCACCUGGACCAAUACAAGGAGUACCCCUACAAUGGCUCAGUUGGAUCGGGUUUUGGUCAAUGCUUAUUGGAAUCCUGGUUUUAUGCUGACCACAGCCACUGUCGUGCCAGGCACUACCUCUGAUCAUACACCCAUUUUGGUUCAGUUCUCUGCCGAUGUAACGAGAAGCAGUUUGUUUAGGAUGGAAGAUCAUUGGCUUGAGAUGGAGGAAACAACUUCGAAGAUGAGGAGAGUUAGAGCUGCCCUCCGUGCUUGGAGCAGGAAAAAAUCGAGCCUCAGAAUCUACACAGACAAUAACAAACACGUGGUAAACUUCCUAAAUGUAGUGGAAGAAAGGCGCUCCCUCUCUAUUCUUGAAGUUGUGCUUCGAGAAACUGCAUCUGCUAAAGCUGAGAAACUAAUUUUGUGGCAAACUGCCCUCUGGCGAUGUCGCGCCAAAGUGCGUUGUGUGAGCUGGAGCUGCCUCUUCCAAAUCUUUGAAGCUAGAGGCUUUCCACAGAGGUGGAUUCAGUGGAUCUCCUCCUUGCUAUCCACUGGUAAAUCACAAGUGCUAAUGAAUGGAGAGCUUGGGGAUGCUUUCUCCGCUAAGAAGGGCUUUCGUCAAGGGGACUCUCUGUCUCCAUACCUUUUCAUCUUGGUUGCUGAUGUGCUUCAGCGACUAUGCUGCAUGCAUUUCCAGGCUGGCAGUUUGCUGCACCCCCUUGGCUCGGAUGUUUUGUUCCUAGUUUUGCAGUACGCGGACGACACUCUGCUCAUCUUCCAGGGUGAUUUGCAGCAAGCGGAGGUUAUCAAAACCAUCCUUUCUGCUUUCUCAGAUUUCUCUGGCCUGCAAAUUAAUUUCCACAAGAGUACGUUGGUCCCGGUUUCAGUUGAUGCUGACCUUGCGCUGGAUAUUGCCCGUGUCCUUGGCUGUCCUGUCUCCUCCUUCCCGUGCACUUACCUCGGCUUACCUCUGUCUCUGAAUAAGAUUACGCAUGGUAUGCUCCUACCUGUUAUACACAGAGUUGACAAGAGGUUGUCGGGCUGGUUAGCUACUUUCCUUUCAUGGGGUGGCAGGCUUACUUUGCUUAACUCGGUGCUUGCCGGCAUCCCCAGCUAUUUCAUGACUUGCUUCCCGUGGCCAAAGGAGUCAAUUAAUAAGUUGGAGGGGCUUUUGCACGCUUUCUUCUGGCAAGGCAAGAGCAAAACCUCGGGGGGUCACUACCUUGUAGCUUGGGAUAAAGUCAUCUUGCCACGAAAUAACUUACCUAGUGGCAAUCAUACAAGAGACACUGCCUUCUGGAAAGGACUCAAAUCUUGCAUCCCGCUGGUCAUGUUUUCUUCCCGUUGCUCGGUUGGUUCAGGGGCUCUGGUCUCCUUUUGGCAGGAUCAGUGGCUAGAGGUGGGGAGGCUAAUGUUUGUGCUGCCAGUCUUAUAUUCUUUUGCCAAAGAUAAAUUUUGUUCAGUUCAGUCGCAAAUAUCCUCAGGUGGUUGGGAUAUCCAGUUAUAUCCAAAUUUAUCGCAUACAGCCUUGCAAGAGCUGCAGGUCCUGCAUGCCCUCGUUGCGCAUGGCACCUGGAGCAGUGAUGCCACUGUCACAAUCGAUUGUGAUAUCUGUCUUGCUGUGGAGUCAGUUGCUCACAUUGUUUUGCGGUGCCGUCCUGUUGAACAUCUCUGGGGCAAGCUGCAGUUGGACGCGUUGGCGAGUGUUUCCCCUAACCUGUUGUCUUUCUUUGAACGCGCUGCUCAACAGCUCACUCCCAAAAGGAUAUGGAAUGUUGCUUUUGCAGCCUGCGCCGUCACUUUAUGGCAUGCUCGGAAUGAUCGAGUUUUCAACAAGAAGGUUUGGUCUGGUCCUUACACAAGUUUCAUUGACCAGCCCGGGUUGCGGGUGCCAAAGCACAUCCGCCAAAGCGAACCAGUUUACUUGGAUGAACGUCUUGAUGGUCAGUAUGUAUUCAUGAAGAAGGAGGAUUUUGAAAGAUCAAGGCAUCUCAAGGACGACAGCUUCGUCCUUUGGUGUGACCUUGUUGUGUGCAAGCCGGGCGCGAACACCAAGGGGCGGAGCGCCUGCUGCACCUCCCGUCCAUUCACGAAAUUACCACCGCCUGACUUGCAAAGCCAUCUAGGCAAUCUCCUUCUGAGCAAGGAGUGUGCUGACAUUACGUUUGAGGUUGGCGGCGAGGAGUUUGCUCCGCAUCGUGUUGUCAAGAUAAAUGGCAUCAAAGCAGACGUCUUUAGGGGCUUGCUUACCUUCAUCUACACUGAUGCAGUACCAGACUUUGACGACAUGCAAGCAGAUGAUGACGGUAAUAAAACAUAUGCAACCCGGCUGCUCGAGUUCCUUGAAGCUGCGGAAAGAUACAAUCUCGAAAAGCUCAAAUCGAUCUGUGAAGAGAAGUUGGCCAAUUAUAUAUGUGACAUGGAGUCAGACAUCAUCGCCAAUGAGCUUCUCUCCAAGUUUGCUUCGCUGAACCUCUGA